rnacentral:misc_RNA from 1 species
AACGGUCUAUACCUGCGGUACCUGCGGAAGGAUCAUUAACAAAUUGUCCACGAUAAUGGAUAAUUUUUAUCCAUAUCCACCUUGUGUGAAUCCAUUGAAGUGUUUGUUGGCAGGUUAUCAGGUCUCAUUGCGAGAGCUGUGUGGGUUUAUAGGCUACACUAGUUAGUAGUCUGCUCGGCCUGCCAAUUUCAUGUUUAAACCUGUCUAAAUAGUUUGGACUGAACAUAUAAACUUUAAUAA